AGACUGGACGGAACAAAGCAGCAAAAGAAAUAAAAUGAAACCAUGUUAUCAUUGGCUACCCUUUAAACAUACGAAAAACUCUCAGAAGAGAUAAUCUACAGUAGGGAACAGUGCUGUGCUGGCACAGGGUGUACAGGAUGACCUAAUGGGUCUUUUCCAUCUCUAAUUCCUGUGAUACUGAAGAUCUAAGAGAUGGAGCCAGUAAUUGCUUACAACAUAACAGAUUCCUCACUCUCUCUCCUUUUUUUUUCCCUCCCUUCCCUAGAGUUCAGCAGAGAAUCUCUUAAAAUAAAUAAAAACUGUGAGAAACUAAGAGAAGUCAGGGACUGGCCCACUUUUCAGAGGCAGAAUGUGGAAAGUAUGAAACGCUGAUUUGACUCUGAAGGCUGGAAGGCAGAGGGCCUGAGCCGUUUAUACUACAUGCAGUAGUUUAAAAAGGAAAAAAAAAAAACUUGAAAAAAUGGGUGUAACCCUGGGCUUUGAUACAACUGGCCUUUCAGCCCCCACUUGAGAUUUGCACAUCCCCAAGGGAAGCUGUGGUUUGGAAUAAGAUCGUGCAUUUAAUUUCACUCAGGGAACUUAUUGGACUUGGCACCAAAAGAAAGAAUUUGCAGUAUAUUUUUUGUCAUGAUUAGUGGCCCCCCUCACCACAACAUUUGAUUAUUUUGGAAAGGGAAAAGUUAAAUCCUUGUAAAGUUGUGAUUUACAAUUUUCGAGCAUCCAGGUAGGGAGCAUGACUUCUGCCAGCUUGAUCAUGGGAUCCACAUUUUAUUCUAGCUCAUUGAUGUGAGAAAACAAAACAGUUCUGUGGGGGAAAAUAGACUUGGAAAUAUAUCCCUUGAUUAUCCUGGGAGAUUUUCUCUCCACGCUACAUCUUCUCAGUCGCAUUGAUUUUGGUAUCCGCUGGAACUUGCAGCAAGAAACUAGCACGCGGCUGGUUUACUUUUCAUUUCUAAUCUCUAGUGUCUGGUUUUUUUGUUUUUAUCAUUUGAUUUCUUUGCCCUCACGUUUAUGUAAAUCUUGAGGCAAAGGAGUUAAAAAGAGGUUCUUAUUUUAUACCUGAAAUGAACUUUCGCUGGACAUUUUUUUCUCGAGCUUUGUAAUUAAGAUUGGAGAUCUUGUGGGUAUUUUAAUACGUAUGUCCAAAUAGCCCAAGGCAAAGGGAAUGACCAACUGUGUAGCUGAUGAAUAUUUUCCUGGUAGAUGUACAACAACUUUCCCCACAACCGUGAUGCUUUAUCCUUUGACAUUGAGAAUGCUGUUUGCAGAAGCAACAUUCCUUUGAACACGCAGCUUUCUGAAAUGGUGUCCCGCCGCAAGGACUCAAGUAGGUGUGCCUUGCAAUGACAGAAGACAGCAUGAUGAGGGGAAGUUAAAGAAGUAAGAAAAUUGGAAUUUAGAAUGUCAACAUCUUGAGACUAUAAGCCCCACGUGAGCAGAGAUGUCUGUCUUCCUUGUUCAGUGGUACACCUCAAGUGCCUGGAAUAUUGCACUCAUACUCAGCAAAAGAGACUAAGAGGCCCUGUGACUCCUGGAUUCAUCAGGGAGAAGAGAUUUCGGUUGGUUCCUUAAACAGAAAUGAGAACGGAGUCCACUCCCGUCGAGAAUGUGCUGGGUUCCCCCUUCGCCCGGAGAGCACCCAGCUCUGAGUCUCAGAUCAUCUGACUGUCCCGCCCAGUACCCCUCCAUGUUGCAGGUUUUUAAAGAUGCCCUGGGUGCCUCUCCCUCAUUACUUAAAGGUUUAAUUUAAACCACGGAUAAUUUCUGCAGAAGACCACUGCAUCACAAGAUAGAGGGAAGAUGGAACCAUGGGUCACUAAUUGGAGAGAGUGAUCAACAGAGCUACGUAUCCAAAAACAUCAACAUUAUUAUGAACAAUAAAUAUAUACUGUAUUAAGCCCCUGAGAUUUGGGGGUUGUUAUAACAUUUAUACUAUCUUACACAUUUUUCUACAUCCUAUUUCCCACCAAGCUGUCAGAAUCAACCUUUUAAAAUAUAGGUCAAAUUAUAUCAUUCUUUUGCUCACUUACCUUAUUCAUUCACACAGGCCUGUUAGCUAUUUCUGGAAUGCACCAGCCACUAUUUUACUUUGGGCCUUUCACUUGCUCUUUCCUAUGCCUGGUGUGCUCUGUCAAGAGAUGAGGGGGCAGGCAUUCAAAGACUAAGGGGUAAUCUCUUAGUAAGGCUUUCCUUGACUUACUUAUUUAAAAUGGGAUCUGAAUGUUAAUCUUGUAUCCUGCUAUCUGGCUGAAUUCUUUUAACAUACAGAAAUCAGUGGCAUUUCUUUACACUAACAAUGAA